AGUGAACGCUGGCGGCGUGCCUAAUACAUGCAAGUCGAACGGAGUGGCGCACGGGUGAGUAAUAUAUAGAUAACCUGCCCCUUACUCUAGGACAACAUCGAGAAAUGACUGCUAAUACCGCAUAGAACGGGCUGAGACAAUAUCGUAUCAGCUAGACGGUGGGGUAACGGCCGACCGAGGCUAUGACGCGUAACUGGUCUAAGCGGAUGAUGAGUAACCUUGGAACUGAGACACGAGUCAAAGUCCUACGGGAGUCAGCAGUAGGGUAUAUUGCCAAAUGGGGGAAACCCUGAAGGAGCAUCGACGCGUAAAGCAUGACACUUUGCGAAGAAUAGACGCCUUUUUUUCGGGAAGCGGUACCUAACGAAUAAGCACCGGCUAACUCCGUGCCAGCCGCCGCGGUAAUAC
rnacentral:rRNA from 1 species